CGAACGCUGGCGGCGUGCUUAACACAUUCACGUCGAACGGUGAAGCGCCUUCCUUUUUGGUGGGUGUGGAUGAGUGGCGAACGGGUGAGUAACACGUGAGUAACCUGCCCCCUUCUUCUGGAUAACCGCAUGAAAGUGUGGCUAAUACGGGAUAUUCUGGGUCUGUCGCAUGAUGGGUCUGGGAAAGAUAUUGUUUCGGUGGGGGAUGGGCUCGCGGCCUAUCAGCUUGUUGGUGGGGUGAUGGCCUACCAAGGCGGUGACGGGUAGCCGGCCUGAGAGGGUGGACGGUCACACUGGGACUGAGACACGGCCCAGACUCCUACGGGAGGCAGCAGUGGGGAAUAUUGCACAAUGGGCGCAAGCCUGAUGCAGCGACGCCGCGUGAGGGAUGGAGGCCUUCGGGUUGUGAACCUCUUUCGCCAGUGAAGCAGGCCUGCCUCGUUUGUGGGUGGGUUGACGGUAGCUGGAGAAGAAGCGCCGGCUAACUACGUG
rnacentral:rRNA from 1 species